AUCAAAGUUCACUUUGUUGAUCAUUACUUUAUAAAAAGAUAUCUUGUUACUAAUUUUAGCCACACGUGUACACGAUCUAGAUUGGAUGUUAAUCAUUUUGUUGAAUGGCCCCUGUUUUAUCAAUGGACAGAGAGUUUGUUACUUAUUAACAGUAAAAGUCGUAUUUAUUUAUUUAUUUAUAUUUAUUUGUUUUCAGUAUCAUCAAGCCAUUUUGUACAUAGGUAGUUUAGAUAUUAUAUUAGCAAUCUUUCUUAGCUUACAACUUAUACCUAAACAACCGACUUAUGUUUUGUUUUAUUGUUAAUUAAAUAAUGAUUGUACUACAAACGAUGGAUGUAGAAAUAGUUGUCAGUAGAGUUAUUUUGGGUACAACUUGUUUCAAUUAUGUUAAGUCGUACACGUGAUGUGUCGUUUUUAAUGGUCACAAUGGCGAGUUUUGUGUUUAUUUGAGUGGUUUAAAAACAGAUCCAAGAAUGUGCAAUAUUUUAUGUAUUACAAAUAAUUAUAUAUCUAGUCAUGCACUGUAGUUCACCUGAGAGAGACUCGAUUUGAUUUCCUGGUUGUGUAUAGCAUUUGCAUGAACGGCACGUAAAUUGAAGUACUUAAUAAAGUUUUAAGGUUUGUUUUUAUUUUGAAUCUCAGGUGAACAGUGCGGUUUAUGAAAAUAUUAUUGGUGCAAUCGAUUUAAUAACAAUUUUUUUGUUGUUUCAAUUACUCGUGAAACUCUUGCAUAAUUGUGACGUAAUGUCUCAUUGGAGGACCUAGCAAUCUCAGUGGAUGUAGCGGUGACGACAUCACCUCGUGCCUAUGACAAUUGGUACCCGGAAUGUCUCAGCCCAUCCACACUGACACUUUUUACUUUUGAGUAGAACAGAAUUUUGACACUUUUUAAUUUUUGUCUUCUUCAUAUCGCAUAUAUAUAUUCUUACAUAUUUCUAUACUCCCUUAAUUAGAGAGAAUCCAUUUUGAUAUUUACAUUGGAAGAGAAAUGAUCUUGUUUCUUUUUAGUUAAUUUUUUUCUGACUUAGAGUCAGAUUUAUUCUUAUAACUGACGCAAGUAGUCAGAUUGAUCAUGAUCUAGCCUGAUUCAUUAGUCACUUAGUUAGAAAUCAUUAUAGCUAACCUGUAUAAAGAAGCGAUACAAUAAAAUAGUCCAUCAUAUACUAUC
rnacentral:sRNA from 1 species